AGCUGUUGAGCUCGGUCAUGCCCUGAACCCCAGAGAAGACAACACGCAUGCCAUCUAAGAAGGCAGCCUGGUCAUCUGUGCACGUGACUAUACCUGGAUUUUCCUUCGUAGGAAAAAGGCAUCACUUUAUACAAAGGAAGACCAGCCUUCUUGAAACGACCCAGCAGUUGGAUGCGUACCUGAGGUGCUCAGGAGACUGUGUGCCAGCUAUCACUUAAGCUUAAUACGACACUCCCUGCCUCAGCAGCCUGUGAAAGUCUGUUUAGUGUUGCAGGGCUGAUCUUCACACCAAGAAGAGCAUGCAUUGACUCAAAGAACUUUGAGAACCAGCUGCUUUUGUGGAUGAACAAAGCCUAUUAGUAACUCUUUGUCGCAUGUUGAUUAACCUGUUGUUAUUUAAGUCCAAUGUGAUUGUUUAAAUAAAGGUUAAAUGAUGA